rnacentral:rRNA from 1 species
GACGAACGCUGGCGGCGUGCUUAACACAUGCAAGUCGAACGGAAAGGCCCUGCUUUUGUGGGGUGCUCGAGUGGCGAACGGGUGAGUAACACGUGAGUAACCUGCCCUUGACUUUGGGAUAACUUCAGGAAACUGGGGCUAAUACCGGAUAGGAGCUCCUGCUGCAUGGUGGGGGUUGGAAAGUUUCGGCGGUUGGGGAUGGACUCGCGGCUUAUCAGCUUGUUGGUGGGGUAGUGGCUUACCAAGGGUUUGACGGGUAGCCGGCCUGAGAGGGUGACCGGCCACAUUGGGACUGAGGUACGGCCCAGAAUGCUACGGGAGGCAGCAGUGGGGAAUAUUGCACAAUGGGCGGAAGCCUGAUGCAGCAACGCCGCGUGCGGGAUGACGGCCUUCGGGUUGUAAACCGCUUUCGCCUGUGACGAAGCGUGAGUGACGGUAAUGGGUAAAGAAGCACCGGCUAACUACGUG